GACGAACUGUCCUAACGUUGUUCGGAAUCACUGGGCUUAAAGGGCGCGUAGGCGGUCCACCAAGUCAGGGGUGAAAUCCUGCAGCUUAACUGCAGAAGUGCCUUUGAUACUGGUGGUCUGGAGGGAGAUAGGGGUGUGUGGAACUCACAGUGGAGCGGUGAAAUGCGUUGAUAUUGUGAGGAACGCCGGAGGCGAAAGCGACGCACUGGAUCUCUUCUGACGCUGAGGCGCGAAAGCUAGGGGAGCAAACGGG
rnacentral:rRNA from 1 species